rnacentral:sRNA from 1 species
UCACUCCCGAACGCGGCGCGGCCGACACA